UUCAACGUGUUUACAUAUAUACCACAUAUUUAGGGGUAAGUAUGUAUGUAUAGAUAGAUGGAUAGAUAGACAGGUAGAUAGAUAGAUGCUUUUUCUAGGAUCUUGAGCACUGCCUGCUGAAAUGGAACCAGAAGUGUCCAUUCAUCCUGGGAAAGAGGGCUCAGGGAAGUCUGUCUAAAAUUGGAACAAAGAUCAGUGAAGAUGAUUAGAAGACACGAUCUUCCCAGCCUAAGGCCAGUUCACCUCAUGUGUUUUCACAGCUCUGCUGCACAAGUGCUGCUACACUGAAGAGAAACAGGCUCAUUUGUGUUAACAGUCACAAUGCAUUCCAAAGGCAGCUGAGAUCUGAAGACAGAGUCGUGACUUCUGUAUCUCAGUGUUUGAAGACAACUUUUCAGAGGCCACUGGUCACCUGCUCCCUCUGCCAGUGUGCUGGAAUUGGACAAACGACUGUGCCUGGUUCAGUGUCCACUGCCUCUGAAUCUCAAGACAUUGGAGCUUCCAUGGAGGUAAGAGGUCUGUCCAUUCUGAAGACACACCAGGAAGAUGCAUGCACUCUCAGUCCUCAGUCACAAUCUAGAGACCCCAGUGCAUCCACCUUCUGAAGCAAGAAGCAGACAGCUCCAAUCUAGAAUUCGAAGCAGACAGCUCCCAGUCGUAGGCUCUGUCUUCGAGGGUCCAGAUUAUCAAGAGCUAAACCUCUGUGUCCAACUGCUGCUCCCAACUAAGAGAAUGAAAAAGAAAUCUUCUCUGAUUAAGGAAAUUGCAGGUUUUGAAGUAUGUUGGUGUUUGAAAAGGAUAUUGUAAUAUAAUACAGUUCUUUAAAAUUUUAUGUAAAUAUUCCUAAAUUAUCCUGUGAUUACUUUCUUUGAAAGUUAAGAGACAAUAACGAGGUUUGUAUGAAAUAUCCCUAAUUUCCUUUCAAGUAACAAAUUUUCUCAUUUUCCAUCAAUGAUAUGACAAAUGCAUGUCUCUAUAUG
ensembl:lncRNA